rnacentral:pre_miRNA from 1 species
AGCUUUUUGAAUUCAUGCAAAGAUUUCAUCAGACACCAACUCACUAGGGCUGAUCAGACUUUUAAGAUAAGUGAAGUU